GAUGAACGCUGGCGGCGUGCCUAAUACAUGCAAGUCGAGCGAACAGACGAGGAGCUUGCUCCUCUGACGUUAGCGGCGGACGGGUGAGUAACACGUGGAUAACCUACCUAUAAGACUGUGAUAACUUCGGGAAACCGGAGCUAAUACCGGAUAACAUGUUGAACCGCAUGGUUCAACAGUGAAAGACGGUUUUGCUGUCACUUAUAGAUGGAUCCGCGCCGCAUUAGCUAGUUGGUAAGGUAACGGCUUACCAAGGCAACGAUGCGUAGCCGACCUGAGAGGGUGAUCGGCCACACUGGAACUGAGACACGGUCCAGACUCCUACGGGAGGCAGCAGUAGGGAAUCUUCCGCAAUGGGCGAAAGCCUGACGGAGCAACGCCGCGUGAGUGAAGAAGGUCUUCGGAUCGUAAAACUCUGUUAUUAGGGAAGAACAAAUGUGUAAGUAACUAUGCACGUCUUGACGGUACCUAAUCAGAAAGCCACGGCUAACUACGUG
rnacentral:rRNA from 1 species